AUUGCAGGUUUGAGGGUAGUGAGGAACUUACUGUAUAAAAGGACAAAAAGAGUUGUGAUGGCAAAAGUAUUAUCAGUUGAGUUUCAGCCAGGGUAAAGCAACACUCUGUACCCGGCCUGAGUCAGUCAGAAGUCUGGGCUCUGGACUGAGUUGCUAGUAGUGACUUUCAGGUUUUCUAAGAUCCAAGAGCUAUACAUUUGCAGCUUCCAGGACACCAAAAAGGACUGGACACAAACACAUGGUGCUCACACAGUCAUUGUCUGCUGGUGCACUACAGAACCCACAAAACUUACAAUUCACUGACUGAUGGAAGAGAGCCGGGUAGGUGAGUUACAGGAAUCUGCCUUUGCUCAUUCCCCAGCACUGGAGUUACAGACCACUGUGGCCACUUUAGCUUUGAUAUGGAUGAAGACCUGAGCUCAGGUACUCAUGUUUUGUGCUUAAUGGAGGUUUUGCAGCAGAAGAAGCUGUUCUAUUACCUUGGUUCCACCACGAUUUUCAAGAUGAGAGUACCCAGCUUGAUGAAGACUCAAGUAGCACAUAAUGAAGUCAAGACCCAGGCCAGGAUAACAAAGGGAGCCGCUGAAGUCUGUUCUGAAGGCACCAUGACAAAGCACCAGACAGAAAGCGGUCACGUGUGGGGAGAUGAGCAGACACCACUUCGCGGGCACCUGAUUAUUCUUUUCUCGGGAUUUAGAAGCAAAAAUUACCCUACGGAAAACAGUUGCAUAUGCAAAACCACAAAUCGCUCAGUGUUAUAAAUGGCACAGUGUAUGCAGAUAAAUCCCCACGCACGGCUCUGAAAAUAUGCCCAGCAGAGGAGAAAUACUGCACAGCUUGUCUUUCCACACCCCGGAUUGCUGCUCUGUUCUUCCAUGGUAUUGUUUAAUCCAAGAAUGAUAAGGACCUUUUAUUUGUAUGUUUGGAGCAUGCUGCUACUUUAAAAAAGAAAUCACAGUUUUUCUACAGGCAGAAGGAUGGUCAAGAUGAGCUGCAGCAGCUCCUCCUAGCCAGCUUUAUUUGGAACGUGGAAGACAAGAGCUCAUCCUGUUGGAUGCAUAGAGAAGCAAAUUGGCAAAGAUCAGGAGAAGGUAACAGGCUGUUUUAAAGAGCUAUGUAAAAGAAAACGUCUGAAUUCAAAGGAGGUCAGAUUCUUCAUUGACCCAGGGCGUCAGAAAGGGAAGCCGGCAUGUGCAAUCUUGUCCUCUUUCAUUUUUACCUCCAUGGUCAAAAAGCCGCACCAGAAUGAACACUGUAAAGAAUUUGCUUUCUUCCCUCAGCUUGAGCAUGGAGGAAUUAGCUCCCUGGAUUUCGAGAGGGAAAGGCUGAAGAGGAAGGUGACUGGAAUAUUAAGGACUGUCAGAUAUUCGGAGGAAACUCUAAUUUGUAAAUUGGUAGAAAUGCCAGUAAUUUGUUGGGAAUUGAAGACCUUCUGUAUUCACAAGUGAAGCUUGGCAGCUGUGCACUGUUGUUUUGUAAAUCAAUAUUACAUC
ensembl:lincRNA 4933427E13Rik RIKEN cDNA 4933427E13 gene